AUUGAACGCUGGCGGCAUGCUUUACACAUGCAAGUCGGACGGCAGCACAGAGAAGCUUGCUUCUUGGGUGGCGAGUGGCGAACGGGUGAGUAACAUAUCGGAACGUACCGAGCAGUGGGGGAUAACUAAUCGAAAGAUUAGCUAAUACCGCAUAUCUUCUGAGGAAGAAAGCAGGGGACCAUUUGGCCUUGCGCUGUUUGAGCGGCCGAUAUCUGAUUAGCUAGUUGGUGGGGUAAAGGCCUACCAAGGCGACGAUCAGUAGCGGGUCUGAGAGGAUGAUCCGCCACACUGGGACUGAGACACGGCCCAGACUCCUACGGGAGGCAGCAGUGGGGAAUUUUGGACAAAGGGCGCAAGCCUGAUCCAGCCAUGCCGCGUGUCUGAAGAAGGCCUUCGGGUUGUAAAGGACUUUUGUCAGGGAAGAAAAGGGCGGGGUUAAUACCCCUGUCUGAUGACGGUACCUGAAGAAUAAGCACCGGCUAACUACGUG
rnacentral:rRNA from 1 species